UACGAAGGGGGCAAGCGUUGCUCGGAAUGACUGGGCGUAAAGGGCGUGUAGGCGGUUUAUACAGUCAGAUGUGAAAUCCCCGGGCUCAACCUGGGAGCUGCAUUUGAUACGUGUAGACUAGAGUUCGAGAGAGGGUUGUGGAAUUCCCAGUGUAGAGGUGAAAUUCGUAGAUAUUGGGAAGAACACCGGUUGCGAAGGCGGCAACCUGGCUCGAUACUGACGCUGAGGCGCGAAAGCGUGGGGAGCGAACAGG
rnacentral:rRNA from 1 species